rnacentral:rRNA from 1 species
GUGGGGAAUCUUGCGCAAUGGGCGAAAGCCUGACGCAGCCAUGCCGCGUGAAUGAUGAAGGUCUUAGGAUUGUAAAAUUCUUUCACCGGGGACGAUAAUGACGGUACCCGGAGAAGAAGCUCCGGCUAACUUCGUGCCAGCAGCCGCGGUAAUACGAAGGGGGCUAGCGUUGCUCGGAAUUACUGGGCGUAAAGGGCGCGUAGGCGGACAGCUUAGUCAGAGGUGAAAGCCCAGGGCUCAACCUUGGAAUUGCCUUUGAUACUGGCUGUCUUGAGUACGGGAGAGGUGAGUGGAACUCCGAGUGUAGAGGUGAAAUUCGUAGAUAUUCGGAAGAACACCAGUGGCGAAGGCGACUCACUGGUCCGUUACUGACGCUGAGGCGCGAAAGCGUGGGGAGCAAACAGGAUUAGAUACCCUAGUAGUCC